GGAAACUCUUCAAACAUGGGUUUCAAGAUCUCGAUCGCUCUCAACAAUCUGGUGGAAGGAAUUCGAAAGCUGGAUUGCGUACUCAAUGCAACCGGAAUUGAAGAAUCUUCUCUUCUAGAUCCGUUGCCCGACAAAUGUAAAACUGACAAUGAGAUGUACGCGCCCGAAGAAAUCGUCAUUGUAACGUCAAUA